UCGUUGCGGUACGCAGUACGCGCACGGCCGCGCAUAAUCUGUCACAGCAGCCGAAAACAAAGACAAGUGUUCUCGCUGCAGCUCCCUUGCGGUAAUUCGUCAUCCUUACUGAAGUGUCUGCGUGGUAAGCGCCCAGGCAGCUCUCUGAGCGUGCCUACUCGUCGAGUCGCACGCAUUCGCCUGUUUUUUUUUUCGUUGGUUCGAAUUCGUUUUUUUGUGGCUCCUCCGCUGGUUACCUUCGCCUCCCCCUCUCCCCUCACCCUCCUCUGUUAGCCAUGUAUUAUGACAGCCGGCUGCGCCAUGCCGCCCUGCUCGUCCUCUUCGGGCUGCUGCUAAUCAUCGCCGCCCUGUACGACAACGUCUUCGAUGACUUCGAGAACUCGCACGCCGCUGAGCUGCAGGAGAUGCGUGCGGAGGCGCACGGCGUCGGGACGCUCCUGUUUGCGUCUCGUGCGCCGCACUGGCGAGCCGCGCCGCUAGCACUCAACCGGCUCGAAAUCCCGUACGUGGCGGACAUCUUCGUCUCCGAGUACAUCAACCGCACCGUAUCACCACGCCUCAGUGACGUGCGUGAUGUCCGUACCCUGACGUCGAAGGACUUGUUUGAGCAGGUGCAGCUGUGGCGCAGACCGGGCAGACGCGCCGAGCAAAUCUCGAAACUCGUCGACUCGUUGACGGAGAACGAGAGGGUGGCUGCGCGUGCGGAGGCGGUGCGCCAACGUCAGCACAAGUCGAAGACGCGGCGCUCUGCCGAGUCGCUGCUCAGCCUCUUGGCCGGUGGUGGUAGAGGGCAUAGCCACGACGACGACGACGCCGCGGAUUCUGGAGCGGCCGAUGACGUGGUGAAGGUGCGCUACCCAAGCAGCCUUGUUCUUCAUUAUCACGGCUCGUCAGACUUGUUCUCUCUCACCUCCAACAACGUCCAGCUGGUGCCGUACCCGUUGGUCCCUCCGCCAGUCACGACGCGGCUCAGUGAGGCGGCGCCGCCGCCGCACGCAGACGUGAUUGGCAGGAAGGAGUUCACUGGCGAGGAUGCCGACGAGAGGACAGCAGCGGCAGCAGCCAACGACACGGACACUGAUUCCACCAUCACAAUCACUAUUCCAAAAGGCAAGGUGCGCUACGCAGUGCCCCGUCGUACGGCCCCGCACACGCCGACACACGGCUGGGAUCACUUCUACAUUGCCCUGAACCUGUGGAAGAACGAGGAGGUGCUGCCUGACCUUACGGAGGCACUGAUCGCCUUUCUGGAGGAAGAGGUGAAGCCCUUCUUUGAUCUCGCCACCUCUGUCGUGGUCUCCAUCUACUCGAACAUAUCGCCCGAUAGGACGGCCGAGCUCAUCACGACACUGCUGAUCCCGCGGCUGCACGCUGCCGGUGUGCGGACCGUCUACGCAACAACGGAAGGCGCGUGUCUCGGCUACGUGGAGCGUCAGUCCUUCCACGAGCGUAUCGAGUGGAUGGCGUGCAUCCGGAACAAGGCGCUCGAGCCGCUCUAUGAGAAGGGCAUGAGCCUGUUCGAAAGUUCGCAGCAGCAGCAGCAGCAGGCCCAGGACAGCGCCGACGGUCUUGUCGUGCUCUUUUUCAAUGAUGUCAUCUUCCGUCCGCAGGACAUCACGGCGCUGCUGGAGAGUCGUGCUGAGGCACAGAUCGCGGCGAGCACGCGACCACACGGCUGGGUGUCCUCCGUCACAAAGACAAACCAUGAGCCUGCAGAUGCUGGCGUCAAGGACGACGACGGUGAUUCGCGGAAGCAUCCAGUGGGCACAGCGUCGACGCCUCCGUCUGGUUCCACGUCAGCAGCGACCGGCACAACCUUCGACAUGGCAUGUGGUAUGGACUUUUACGCAACCUUCUAUGACACAUGGGUCACGCGCGAUCGUCUUGGCAAGCCCUUCGGGGCGCAGAUGCCCUAUUCCGACGACCACUCCACCCAAGAGGCAUUCUACCGCAUCUUCAAGCACGAGCGCACCGGCGACCAUGCACCGGAGGCGUCAGCCAUCCCGGUCAAGUGCUGCUGGAACGGCGUCGCUGCCAUCCGCGGCCGCUUCUUCCUCGCCCCGACCCCACCGCAUCGCCUCGGCUUUCCCGUGCGGGACGCAGCGGAGACGACAGCGCGGACCCCGUCGGCGGCAUCGUCUGCUCCGGCCGCCACCGGAGGCGCACGCAGCGAGGCUGCUGCGCACCACCCUGAUGUGCUGCAGCGUCCCUCGGGUGCGGUCUACGACCGCAUCGGCGACGUGCACGACCUGCUCAACACAACAACGCUGGUGCACUACUACACACGGGUGCUCGCCCGCCGUCUGCAAUCGGUGUGUGUGUCGUGGAGCUUGAUGCGCCGCGAGAUAGCUAGGCUGGCAGACAUUCCGUUCUACAAGCCAGAGACGUGCGACAGCAGCAGUAGCUUCGAGAGUCUCCUGCAUACCGUGGACUACGAGAUGCGCCGAUCCUCGGCAGUCGGCGCGGACUGGGUGCAGCUGCGGCUACAGCUUGAGAGCCGCACGCUCCUCCUCAGCACCGCGCCGGACCUGAUGCGUCUCGAGGAAUCAGUCGAGAAGGCAGAGAACGAAGGCGAGGUGGAGCCUGCUGCGCCGGUGGUUCUGCGCGUGGAGGAAGACAGUGUCUACUACCGUGUGCGGCAUCUGUCAGUGCGGUUUCGCCACGCUUUCACCCCCUCCUACGGCGCCACCGUCGCUGGCCACGCGCUGGUGCGUGAUGAAGUCUGUCUCGCUUCGGAGUGUCUCCUGAUCUGCCAAGACGUAAUGCACGCUGCCCUCCUGCAGGACAGGCGAGCGCCGAUCAUCCUGCUCAACCCCCACGUGCGCGUUGCGUACAACCUCGAGGACUUCAACCGCGUCACGAAGCAGACGUGGUUCUUCGAGCACCCGCACGUAUACUGGGUCUGGACGCUGGCGCGGCGAAUGCAGCUGUGGUGGUCGCCCUCGCCGUCGUCCAGUGUACAGGACAAGGGUGCCGGUGCAGGCGGGUCGCGCGAGCUCGGCAACGCCACGUCGGCGAUGGACGACUGGCUGAGCACCGCCUCAGUUGCUGCCGGGCCAGGGACGGUCAUGCGCGGUACUCAGAAGCUCAGCGUGCAGGACGGGGCUGGCCGUGUCAUAGCCACUGGCCUCAUCGACAUCCCCACGCUGACCCGAAUGGACUGCCAGGGGUCCGCGGAGGGCUCUAUUCGGGUAGCGAUGGGCGCCUUCUUCCCUGUUGUGCGACUGGGCCAGUUCCUGCUCGCCGCGCUGCUGCUGCGGUGGUUGUGCUGGCAAGUGCAUGUGGAUGUGCUGGUUGCGGCGCUGUCAGACGGAGGCGGCGCGGCAUGGACCUACUCGGUGGAGGCGCAGUGGUGGCGCGCUCUCUACUGCGCCGUGUGGUACUCAUCGCUUGCGCAGCGGCUGAGGUGGCUCUCAGGUGGCGUUGCUGCAGGUGAGCGCGACGCCGGCGACGUUGUCUCUGGCGAAUGGGAAGGGGAGAGAACCGUAAGUGGCCGCGGCUAUGGUCGCGCAAGGCAUCCGGUCACUUCCUCGUCAUCGGCCCUUCUACAGCAGCUGCAUCGACUGCAGUCACACCGCUUCGUGAAGAACUCCCACGCGCGCUCGUGCGUCGGCGCCGCGUGGCGAGCCGCGUUCUUUGUCGCGCAGACGCUGGUGUGGCUGCUCAGCUCGCUGUGUUGCGUCCGGUUCUGGUUUGGCUGGUGCCGAGCACCGCCGGCCCUUACCAUCCCGACUGGGUGUUCGGGCUCCAAGGCGCGUCAACUGUGGCCGCACAGAAGCAGCGCUUCGCCCGCCAAGUCCCACUAUCCACGGGAGCCGUCGCGUGCAGUGGUGUCCGCAGAUGCCCUCCGGGUCGGUCCUGCUGUCGCAGGAGAGAUGGCUGGCUGCACGGCCACCCGUCGCAGUGAGGGAACGGCACGCCCCACCUCCUGCACGUUGUUCAUCCCGCGCAGCUGCACAGCGAGCGGCGGCGGUGGUAAUGGCACGGAGGUGCAGCGGCAACACCACGGCGUGUCACAGGCGGCCACGAACGUCGCGAGCGCUACCCCGGCAGGCGCCAUAGAAAGCCCCAUGAACUCGGUGCAUCGGCAGUACGAACUCACGCACGGAAGCGCCACCGCCUCGAACCACCAGAUGCGGUCGCGCAACGCCAACUAUGGUGGUCGGUCGUGGCUGCAGUUCGGCGUCAUUCCUUGAGCGCAUCCUUGCCGCACUUGCCGCGCACCCCAAUCGGCCUGUCGACCAUACCGACGGCAGUGCAACCGCGAUGGCGGCUAUGUAAUGAGUCACAAGUUUAUAGUGUAUUCCGCUGAGGCAGUUCCUCGGCGACGAUGAUAAUGAGGGGAGAGCACAGUAGAAGUUCUGCCGCGUGGCUGAAGAGGGAGAGUGAGGUAUGGAGGGGGGAGGCGUAGUACGCUGCCAUCCACACCACGACGGCGCCUCCCCUCGCUCUCCCUGCGCAGACAUGCACACUUCUCUUCGCUGCUGGCCUCUGUUAUUUCUUCGCUUCAUCUCUGCCUUUCCUGCUAAGGGGAGAAGUGUGUGCGCGGUCGCUCAACACGGUAGACGUGUCGCAAGCAGGCGCACGCACGAGACGG
rnacentral:misc_RNA from 1 species